UACGUAGGGUGCGAGCGUUGUCCGGAAUUACUGGGCGUAAAGAGCUUGUAGGCGGUCUGUCACGUCGAUUGUGAAAACUUGCAGCUCAACUGCAAGCUUGCAGUCGAUACGGGCAGACUAGAGUACUUCAGGGGAGACUGGAAUUCCUGGUGUAGCGGUGGAAUGCGCAGAUAUCAGGAGGAACACCGGUGGCGAAGGCGGGUCUCUGGGCAGUAACUGACGCUGAGGAGCGAAAGCGUGGGGAGCGAACAGG
rnacentral:rRNA from 1 species